ACACGGCCCAAACUCCUACGGGAGGCAGCAGUAGGGAAUCUUCGGCAAUGGACGAAAGUCUGACCGAGCAACGCCGCGUGAGUGAAGAAGGUUUUCGGAUCGUAAAACUCUGUUGUUAGAGAAGAACAAGGAUGAGAGUAACUGUUCAUCCCUUGACGGUAUCUAACCAGAAAGCCACGGCUAACUACGUGCCAGCAGCCGCGGUAAUACGUAGGUGGCAAGCGUUGUCCGGAUUUAUUGGGCGUAAAGCGAGCGCAGGCGGUUUCUUAAGUCUGAUGUGAAAGCCCCCGGCUCAACCGGGGAGGGUCAUUGGAAACUGGGAGACUUGAGUGCAGAAGAGGAGAGUGGAAUUCCAUGUGUAGCGGUGAAAUGCGUAGAUAUAUGGAGGAACACCAGUGGCGAAGGCGGCUCUCUGGUCUGUAACUGACGCUGAGGCUCGAAAGCGUGGGGAGCAAACAGGAUUAGAUACCCUGGUAGUCCACGCCGUAAACAAAUGAAGGCUAAGUGUUGGAGGGUUUCCGCCCU
rnacentral:rRNA from 1 species